CACGUAGGGUGCGAGCGUUGUCCGGAAUUAUUGGGCGUAAAGAGCUCGUAGGCGGUGUGUCGCGUCGGCCGUGAAAACCUGCAGCUUAACUGUGGGCUUGCGGUCGAUACGGGCAUCACUGGAGUUCGGCAGGGGAGACUGGAAUUCCUGGUGUAGCGGUGAAAUGCGCAGAUAUCAGGAGGAAUACCGAUGGCGAAGGCAGGUCUCUGGGCUGACACUGACGCUCAUGCACGAAAGCGUGGGGAGCAAACAGG
rnacentral:rRNA from 1 species